rnacentral:tRNA from 1 species
GGGGCCGUAGCUCAGCCUGGAGGAGCGCCGGCCUUAUAAGCCGGAGGUCGUGGGUUCAAAUCCCACCGGCCCCACCA